rnacentral:rRNA from 1 species
AACGAACGCUGGCGGCAGGCCUAACACAUGCAAGUCGAGCGAGAUCUUCGGGUCUAGCGGCGGACGGGUGAGUAACGCGUGGGAAUAUGCCCUUCUCUGCGGAAUAGCCUCGGGAAACUGAGCGUAAUACCGCAUACGCCCUUUGGGGGAAAGAUUUAUCGGAGAAGGAUUAGCCCGCGUUGGAUUAGGUAGUUGGUGGGGUAACGGCCUACCAAGCCGACGAUCCAUAGCUGGUUUGAGAGGAUGAUCAGCCACACUGGGACUGAGACACGGCCCAGACUCCUACGGGAGGCAGCAGUGGGGAAUCUUAGACAAUGGGGGCAACCCUGAUCUAGCCAUGCCGCGUGAGUGAUGAAGGCCUUAGGGUUGUAAAGCUCUUUCAGCUGGGAAGAUAAUGACGGUACCAGCAGAAGAAGCCCCGGCUAACUCCGG